UUCAAGCUGUGAUGAUGACGCCCAUUGUGUCAUGUUGCUGAAAAAUCAUGAGGCCUUUUUUUGUCACUACCUCAUCUGAGCUUGUG